rnacentral:tRNA from 1 species
GGAGAGAAGCUUGAGUGGACUAAACGCCGAUUGCUAAUCCGUUGUACAUGUUUUUGUACCGAAGGUUCGAAUCCCUCUCUUUCCG